rnacentral:rRNA from 1 species
GAUGAACGCUGGCGGCGUGCCUAAUACAUGCAAGUCGAGCGAACGGACGAGAAGCUUGCUUUUCUGAUGUUAGCGGCGGACGGGUGAGAACACGUGGAUAACCUACCUAUAAGACUGGGAUAACUUCGGGAAACCGGAGCUAAUACCGGAUAAUAUUUUGAACCGCAUGGUUCAAAAGUGAAAGACGGUCUUGCUGUCACUUAUAGAUGGAUCCGCGCUGCAUUAGCUAGUUGGUAAGGUAACGGCUUACCAAGGCAACGAUGCAUAGCCGACCUGAGAGGGUGAUCGGCCACACUGGAACUGAGACACGGUCCAGACUCCUACGGGAGGCAGCAGUAGGGAAUCUUCCGCAAUGGGCGAAAGCCUGACGGAGCAACGCCGCGUGAGUGAUGAAGGUCUUCGGAUCGUAAAACUCUGUUAUUAGGGAAGAACAUAUGUGUAAGUAACUGUGCACAUCUUGACGGUACCUAAUCAGAAAGCCACGGCUAACUACGUG